UAGGGAAUCUUCCACAAUGGGCGCAAGCCUGAUGGAGCAACACCGCGUGAGUGAAGAGGGGUUUCGGCUCGUAAAGCUCUGUUGUUAAAGAAGAACACGUAUGAGAGUAACUGUUCAUACGUUGACGGUAUUUAACCAGAAAGUCACGGCUAACUACGUGCCAA
rnacentral:rRNA from 1 species